rnacentral:rRNA from 1 species
UACAGAGGGUGCAAGCGUUGUUCGGAAUUAUUGGGCGUAAAGCGCGUGUAGGCGGCUUUGCAAGUCGGGUGUGAAAGCCCCCGGCUCAACCGGGGAACGGCGCGGGAAACUAGCAGGCUUGAGUUCGGGAGAGGGAUGCGGAAUUCCAGGUGUAGCGGUGAAAUGCGUAGAUAUCUGGAGGAACACCGGUGGCGAAGGCGGCAUCCUGGACCGAGAUUGACGCUGAGGCGCGAAAGCCAGGGGAGCAAACGGG